rnacentral:rRNA from 1 species
AAAAGACGACCUCAGUUCGGAUUGAAGGCUGAAAUUCGCCUUCAUGAAGUCGGAAUUGCUAGUAAUGGCAGGUCAGCAUACUGCCGUGAAUACGUUCCCGGGCCUUGUACACACCGCCCGUCACACCAUGAGAGUUGGAGAUACCCGAAGCCUAUGAGCUAACUUUUAGAGGCAGUAGUCGAAGGUAGAAUCAAUGAUUGGGGUGAAGUCGUAACAAGGUAUC